rnacentral:rRNA from 1 species
ACUCCUACGGGAGGCAGCAGUGGGGAAUAUUGCACAAUGGGCGCAAGCCUGAUGCAGCCAUGCCGCGUGUAUGAAGAAGGCCUUCGGGUUGUAAAGUACUUUCAGCAGUGAGGAAGGUGGGUAUGUUAAUAGCAUAUUCAUUUGACGUUAGCUGCAGAAGAAGCACCGGCUAACUCCGUGCCAGCAGCCGCGGUAAUACGGAGGGUGCGAGCGUUAAUCGGAAUUACUGGGCGUAAAGCGCAUGCAGGUGGUUUGUUAAGUCAGAUGUGAAAGCCCGGGGCUCAACCUCGGAAUUGCAUUUGAAACUGGCAAACUAGAGUACUGUAGAGGGGGGUAGAAUUUCAGGUGUAGCGGUGAAAUGCGUAGAGAUCUGAAGGAAUACCGGUGGCGAAGGCGGCCCCCUGGACAGAUACUGACACUCAGAUGCGAAAGCGUGGGGAGCAAACAGGAUUAGAUACCCUGGUAGGACAGC